AUCCAGAUGACGAGUCCCAAAUAAGACGAAAUGCGUAUCGCUGUUU
rnacentral:hammerhead_ribozyme from 1 species